ACAAUGAUGCCUCAGUACGGCGAGUGAAGCGGCAAAAGCUCAAAUUUUAAAGCUGGCACCUUCGGUGUCCGCGUUGUAAUUUUGUGAGGCAUCUCCGGGUAGGGCGCCGGCCUAAGUUCCUUGGAACAGGACGUCAUAGAGGGUGAGAAUCCCGUGCUUGGCUGGCUGUCCCCGUCCAUGUGAGGUGUCUUCGACGAGUCGAGUUGUUUGGGAAUGCAGCUCAAAAUGGGUGGUAAAUUUCAUCUAAAGCUAAAUAUUGGUGGGAGACCGAUAGCGCACAAGUAGAGUGAUCGAAAGAUGAAAAGCACUUUGAAAAUAGAGUUAAAAAGUACGUGAAAUUGUUGAAAGGGAAGCGCUUGAGACCAGACUUCGGUGGGGGGUGAUCAGCUGUCCUUCUGGGCGGUGCACUUGCUCCCCUCCGGGCCAGCAUCGGUUGGGGCGGCGGGAUAAAGAUCCCGGGAAUGUGGCUCCUUUCGGGGAGUGUUAUAGCCCGGGUGAAUGCCGCCAGUUCCGACCGAGGACCGCGCCUUCGGGCUAGGAUGCUUGGCACAAUGGUCUUCAGCGACCCGUCUUGACACACCCGGGACAA
rnacentral:rRNA from 1 species